ACGAGGGGUGUAUGAAGGCUGGCCUGUGACUGGGACACACCCGGUACCUCCAGCUCUUCUGAAUGACAGCAUGGUACUCAAGGCAAUCUGUACUGGGUCUCCUCAGUGCAAAGGGGAAAACGGGGCUUUUCUUCACCAGUGAGCAAAAUGCAUCAGCCCACAGUGCUGCACAUGCACUGCUAUCAAAAGGUCAGUUUGGGGCAAAUAGCACAGGACCGGCUUCGUCAUGUGAUAAAAACCUGCUGCACAGACCUGACUCUCUGUUACACUCUGAUUUUGGUGAUUAUCUUUGACAUGAGCUGGGACAUGCUGCUGACAGGGGAAGGAGAAGCAGGCCCAGCUCUGAUGCAUAUCUUCCCACAGGCAGGCAGAGCAGCACAGUUUGUUUAAACAUGGCGUGCUGGUGGCUGUAGACAGAGAUCACUCCCAGCAACUCAAUCAACAUGCAUAAUAUUCUGCUAGUUAAAUUCAACUGUGGUAAAUAUCUCCACCGUGCUAUCCCUCCAAGCAAAUACAGUACCUGUAUGGAAGAAAUUCCUCGGGACGUUUCCUGUCUGGAGCCGAAGCUUGCCAGGGACUGAAUUUCCUGUGAGGCAGGAGUUGGGAAUGCAAAGCAAAAGAAGCUAACAAGAAAAUGCAGCGCUACACAGCUCUGCAAAGAUCCUCCCCAGCAAGUGCAUUUAUCCCAUUUAAAUAGAAACGAAGCAGUCAGAUUUGCAAAUAACAGCUGGCUUAUUUUGCACUUGUGAUUCUUAUUUUUACCUCACCGCUUCUCUUUCUGCCUAUUUUUUCCAGCUGCGAUUUUGUGACUUACACAUCCUGAAAAUGAAAGGGCUUGUUUUUGCCAAUAGCAAAGUGCUGUGCAUCCUUUCAACCAUCUGGAAAUAUGUUUUUUAUUCUUCCUCUCUCCCAACCACACACACACACACACGUGCACACACACAACCAAGCCUUUGUCUCUCGCAAUCAUUUCCCGCACCAAAGCUGAUGCUCAUGAAAAGAAUUCAGUGUAAAAGUUCCACAGGCAUUCGAGGGCUGAAUAAACAGGGCAACUUCCUGGGCACUCGUUCUCAUCCAAGCUGCCUCUGCGUGAGAAAGAGAUGAAUGCAACGGAGCAUAGAGUUCAGUGGCAGGCGAUUAGAAGUAACAUCUCCUGUUGUUCUGUCCUGGCUCUGCUGCAAAUCUCCUUUGUCAUUAGAAGCGAGUUGUCUACCUGCUCAGUGCCUCAGUUAUAAAUAGGGAUACGGAUGCUUUCAACCCCAUGUGAUGAUCGAUGCGUUCAUGUUUGUAAUGUGAGCUGAUGUCCAGAGAUGAAAGAAGUAAUCUGAAGUGAAAAUUACCACGAUAGCUCUGUGCUGAGACUAAUAGAGUCAAGCAGGACAGUCUGGGAGCCAGAGACUAGACUUGAUCAUCUCUUGCCCAGAGGCAAAUGUGAAGUGAGCUAUGUCACCACGCUAUCCAGAUGACUGCAGGUCUGCAAGAGGAGACAAAGAGGCAGAGCCAUACUAGCUGGUACAGACAUGCUUACGGUGGCCAGCUGAGAAUGAGUAACAGCUGCUUGCUCAUCAUCCUGAUUUCUGUCACUACUAGUGUUUCUGAACGCUGAAGUGUCCCAGUGCUGUGACUCAGGGCUGUGAGUCAUGGGCUGUAUGUCUCUACCACAUGGAAUCACUCACUUGCUCUCUCAGAUGAGAUUGCAGAAAUCACAGAUCAUCUUGGGUCUCCUAUGGUGGUAAGUCUUAACUUACAGGCAGAUAUUUAUAAAUGUGUGCAGAAAAGAUUUGUCCUUCCUCCCCUGACAGUCUAUUAGGAAUUCAUGUUAGAGAUCGGUUUCACACACACACACCAAAAUAUCAAGUAAAAGAGUACAAGUCUUCUUUUCUUUGAGUGGACAUUUAAUUCCUAUAUCCCCAAACCAAGCUCUAGGAAAUCCAGUCUAGAUGAGAAGCAGUGUGGGCAGCAUUCAGCCUUUUGUCUCCCCUGCUUUUACUGGGCCCAUCUUUAGACCUGCGAUGCUGACAGCAGGACAACGCGCUCCUUUUUGGCUCCUCAUCUGCCUUCUCCUCGCCCACACUCUGCAGCAUUCCUGGAAGGUGUUGUGCUGGUGUGAAGCUGUGGCAAAGAUCUACUCUCACUGCUCACAGUUGGUCUGGAUCCUCCCCCCCAAACCAGAUAAAAGAUGGAGGUAAUCUCUCCAAGAGCUUUCUGUUUGUUGAGGCAGGAUGAGUACUCUUGUAAAGUCUGAAUGAAUGCAGACAACUCCGGGACCCAUAAUAGGAAAGCAAACACAAUACUCCAAGCACAGGGACUCCCGAGUGAUAGGAAGUGACUUCAGCACACCAGUUCCUCUAUUCCCGUAACUCUCUGUGGGUUUGCCAAUAAUCCUUAUCGUCCUUGCUGAGAAAGGAGUGCCUUUGCUAACUGAUUACAUCCUCCUUUCCUUACUGUGGUCAGCCAGUUGCUGCAUGCCAGAAGCAGCUGGCAUGAUUGAUAGAUAAACAUAUGUCUCAGUGUAUUUUCCCUUGUCUGCUAUAACCGCAUCCAGCUCUGCAGCACUUCUAGAAAGGGGUGAAACAACACAGAGCAGUUUUGUCACCAAUACUGUUUUCUAGAAACACUAACCCAGCAAAUCUCCACUUCUUUUUCAUACUUCCAAUCAAAGUAGCACAGAUCUCUAUGCAGGACAGUCACAGCCAUCCCUACCUCCCCUGACCAGAGCUUGUCCUGCAGCCCAGCAGCCAAGGCAAGUUCAUCUGCAGGACUCAAAGGGACCCUGAAAUGCCAGGCUUGAAGUGACCCUCUCAGCUACUGCCUGUGCCCCAUGCAACCUAUGACUAGCCGAGAAACAUCCCAAACUCAAGUCUUUGAGCGCAUUUGUUCUGGAACGUUGGCAGGUUUGAUUAAAGCUCUGGGCACCCUGACUUCAAGAUUUUGGGGUAGCCUGGAGGCAUUCUUUGAAUGCAAUCGUACAGUCCAAUUAAGUAAUAAAAUGCUUCAGGACCACCUCUGCUCUAUGCACAUCAUCCUUUUUUAAACAGCACAUCAUGACAAGAGCCAUCUUGGGUCAAAUUCCUCUUUGAUUUGAGUCACUAGAGUGACAUCAGAGAUGGACUUAGCCCGGUUUGCUAAGAGACUAGGAGAUGGCCAAUUGUAUUUAUUUUUUCUUCUGGUUUCGGUUCCUGGAAUCUGGUUUAACAAUGUGGCCCUUCCUCGCUGUGAGCUCACGCCAUGAAGUGGGCAGGGAUGCUCAAAUAGCAUCUUCUUUGACCUUUGUGGGACCGAGAUGACUGUGGUUGCUUUUUGAAGGCUUCUGAGAAGCUCCCAGCAGCAGCCUCUGUACCCCAUCCCCUGAACUGCAUCUGCAGCAUCCAGCCAUAGUCCCUCUGGAGGGCAGCGUGGCUCUCAGUGACGACACUACGCUCUUAAUUUGUUCCAGUCUGUUUCACACUGACAUUUUAGCACUGACGUCAUCAGCUGCUGAAAUUUCAUUGCUGCUGCUAAGAAUAACAGCCCUUCUCAUCCCCAAACUUUACACCAAAUAAUUAUUUAUUAAUACAGCAAGGAUACAGGCUUGUCUUUUCUGACACAAAUCAGGCUCUGGUGGUUACGAGAAGCAAGAACAAAGCACAGAAGAUGCCUGCACAUUCUGUCAGGCUGGGACAACAAACAGCAAGAACAAAAACCAACAGGAGCAUAUUUACAACAAGUAAGAGCCCUUCAAAAGCCCAAUGGGAAAAGCUCAAACUGGUUUGCUUUAAGCCUUCCUCACUGGACAGUCUUAGUUGCAAUGCAUUGCUUCAGUAGCCUAGGCUACAGCCCCCUCCAGGAGUCACACACAGAGCCCUUUCCAAAUUCUCCCAGGCUUUGUACGUUGUAUAUUUGCUUGUAGCAGCGCAGAGUGGGCGUAAAACACUGUGAAAUCAGAAUUCCCCAUUGACUUUGGGGCCUCGAACCAAAUCCUAUUGAUUUCCGUGGGAGGAUUUCCAUUAACUCGAAUGGGCAUUGAAUCAAACCUAAAUUGGCAGUGCUUUGCACCCAUUUGGCAUAGUGUAGUUGCCCGCAUAAGGUAGAGAAUUAGGUCCAAAGACGCUGAGAAAUGCUUUAAUUAAGAGCAUUAUUGAAGAGAGAGAGAGCUUUUCCAUCCUUAUGCUGAUAAACUGCAUUUGUUCUACACUCCUAAUGGCAGGGGUCAUAUUUUCAGAUGCUUGGUCUAAAGAUGAAGCUGAACGCUGAGAUUUCCAAAAAGAUGCUUAAAGGAAAACGAGGUGCUGGGAAGCCUUUGAAAUCAACAGGUCCAUUAACUUAUUUACAUGCUUUGAAGAUCCUUGGAGGUGCCUAUCUGCAUCUUUGGUAGCCUUAUAAAUGCAACCAGCAGUCACUAACCCCUGACAUCAGCUGCGGGUUUAAUUGUCCACCACACCAUCCCAGCUCCUCCUAUCCCUGUAACACAGGCAGCGAGGUUGGUGCAGGUUGGAGCAGGACAAAGGCUCCCUGCAGACAGCACAGCUCAGUGGCUCUUACAGAAAUACUCAGCAGGGCUGUGGCUGCAGCUGCCUGUCUUCCAUCACACCUCUGCCAGGUCAUUCAGCUGAGGCAGCCGCUCCACAGCAGUCCCCUGUGCUCAGGUAACUAAGGCCCUCAAGAAGCAGACAUGCACGGAUCCUGGAAAUAUUACUUUCAGGCGGUGCAGGGGAAGCCAGCAGCCAGCUGAGCUUCCGUUCCAGGAGCAAUGUGAACCUAGACAGACCCGCAUCCGGUCAAGGGGAGAAUUCUCAAAACAUCUUUGUUACCGCUUUCCCAUCCACUGUGAGGUCUCCAGCAACAUUUCCUGUAUUGCUGCUGACCCUCUUGGGGCACCUUCCUGCACUGCCUGACCUUCUGCAACUGUUGCACUCUUUACCUCAGCAAGUGCCUUUACUGCAGAGUAAGGAAAGUUUGGGGAGCUGGCCUUUGCAAUGCAUGCCUUGGUUGUUGGCUGCAGUACUUUGGCUGGCUGUUAUUUUUCACUUGGACUUGAGUGCUUGGCAUGGCUGCUCUGGAAAGCACAGGGAGAUCAAUGGGGAGACAUGGAAGACAACAUCAAUGCUCACAGAUCUGAGGGACUGCAAGAGGGGAGCCCACCACCUUCACACUCAGAUGGAAGCCUUCCCAUGGAGGGAUUCUGCACAGGGAAACCAUCCAGAAAAAGUAGGUGCUGGAGAGGAAAGCAAAGAGAAAGUGAAAGGGCUCCCAGAGCCGAGCUUUACAGAAGGCACACGGAGCUGAGGAUUUCUCCUGAGCCCUGGCAGCCAUUUACGUCCAGCUGGAAUCACCAGCGAGGUCACUUGCUGCUGGGCUGAAGAACAGGCCCUGAGUUGAUGCACUGCCCUCAGAGCAGGCCAGAGCCCCAAGGGCCGGCUGCUGCCACCUGCCUUCCUCACACCCCCGUGCUCAUUUCUUCCUCCCCAUGAGUAAUUUCCCUGCAUCUCCUCCCACCACCCAGUUCCUCGCACGGUGCAUUUUUAUGCACAAAGGGAACGUGCUGGAUUGCGCCACCUGCUACUGGAAUAAGCACCAGGUAAAGGGAAAGGAAUGCGCAGAGGGAAGUGACCCGUGCGAGCCAGGGGAGAAGAAUUCCUGCCUGGCACUGAGGGAGCUGCAGCUCCAAGCGGCUUUGCUGACAAACCCCACCUGGCGGGUUACAGGCUGGAUGUGCCGCUAAUUACAGCUGCAGAUCCCACUCCACAGGGAUCUCUGGAGGCAAAUAGCUCGGUCAUGUUCCAAGGGCUCAGACCUUGGUGGAAAUAGGCUCCGCAGCCACGAUCGUGUGGAGAGAGGCACAAGUGUUUUCAAUGCUGCACUGCGGGGCACGGGCUGACGCUCCGCUGGGGGUCAGGAAGGCAUUUCCUCCCGGAGGAUAUUAUUGUUCUGCGAGGUAUCUCAUGGGACACGCGUGUCUUCCUCCCGAAUAGCGCCGUUACCCGUAACAAAAAGAGCAAAGCACCCACCCCUCACACAACCCCGCUCCCACCCACACGGGGCGCGGCCCCGCUCCUUCUGGGAAGCGCCGUGCGUCACCCGCCGCCCCCGCCCCGCGGGACAGCCAAUCGCCGGCCCUUAAUUUGCAUACAGCGCGCGUGCUGCCGGUCCGGCCCCGAGCUGCGGGUUGUGGGGCCGGCAGUGCGGAAUGGGAUGGGGAACAGGAAUGGGAACGGGGUGUGGGGACGGGCAGCAAUACCAGCGGGUGUCCGGCACUGCACGGCGCUCACCGUGACCUGACCACGGCACCAUCUUGCAGCUACAUAUUGCCUAAAGGAAGGAAGAUUCCAAUUGCCCGGAUGACCCUCAGUGGUCUGGGGUGCAGGCUUCAAACCUGUAGCUGUCUAGCGACAGAGUGGUUCAAUUCCACCUUUCGGGCGGUGCUGUGCGAUAUUCGUUUUGUCCCCAGCGGGUCCCGCCUGCCGGCUCAGCUGAAACAGUCACAAUCUCUCAAUGGUGCCUGGGUGACAACUGGGAUCUUAAUUAGAUUCUCCCCAGCAGAUCUUCUCAAAGUGUCGCAUCUCCUCCAAGGACGGCAAAGCAAUAAAUAACAGAAGCCAUUCUCUCGCUCUGCUCCAUAUUGACUCUAACCCGUCUCCCACCCACGCUCCAACAAGGAUGCCUAACUGAAGCAGUAAGCGCGGUGCUAAUAAUGUCACCCAGACCCAUGAAAAAUAAAGGUUAGCGUGAAGCUAACAAGCAUAUUCUUCAAGCAGAAGGCAUUCACUUUGUGAGAUCAUAUUGCUGUCGCUCCAACAGAUGCUAUGCAAAGCCUGCAGUUAGCACCAGACCUCAGAACAGCCCCAGCACAGGGACAGCAAGGAAUGUAUUUCCUCAUUGCCCAGUCCUGAAGGCAGGAAGGGCUCUGCCUGCGGCGUCCCAUGGAAGGAGAAAAGAAACACGCUGCUCAUAGAGUCGUUACGGUUGGAUAAGACCUCUGAGAUCAUCUCAUCCAGCCACCAGCCCAUCCCCACCAUGCCCCAUAACCACGUCUCUCAGUUCCUAUGCCAUUCCCUCUUGUCCUGUUGCAGUUACCCAGAAGAGGAGGCCAGCCCUCACUGAGCCACAACCUCCUUUCAGGCAGUUGUAGAGCAAUAAGGUCUGCUCUCAACCUCCUCCAGACUGAACUCCAGUUCAGUUCCUUCAAGCUGCUCCCUGUAAGACUCGUGCUCCAGGCCCUUUACAGCUUUGAUGCCCUUCUCUGAACAAGCUCCAGAGCCCUGAUAUCUUUCUUAUGGUGAGGGACCCAAAACUGAACACAGUACGUGAAGUGUGGCCUCACCAGUGCUGAGUACAGAGGGACGAUCACCUCCCUGCUCCUGCUGGCUACACCAUAAUGAUAUGAGGCAGGAUGCCACUGGCCUUGGUCAGCUGGGCACACUGCUGGCUCAUGUUCAGCACUGCAAAGCCUCUGGUGUUCCUGGGAGCAUUUUGGGCCAAGUAUCAUCCAAAGUAGGUGAACACCUCUAAGUAUCCAAGCCUGAGUGACCAUGCUUCCUUUGCACCAGAUGACUCACUCCAGCUGAGAGUCUGGGAGGAAGAGGGGCACAAAAGAGCCCCUGUACCUCUCCAUUCAGCUGUGAUUGCUCCCAACCCACACAUCAGUCAGAAACCAGCAGUGAUGCCAGCACGGACUGACUCUGGGAAUCCACUGGGCAGCGCUGGGCAAUCUGGUUCCAAAGCACUCUGCAUCCCACAUGGCACAGCCCAGCUUCUUUAUGGCUUUGCAGGAGAUGUGCAGGCGCUCUCCCCAUUGCGGCUGGACGUGCCGUGGGUCCCAGAUGGCUUUGUGCUCCAGGCACUCCAGCCACCGGCCUGUGUCCUCUGCCUAGAAUGAACUUUCUAUGUGGAAUUUUGCCAUGGCCUUAGAAAUCGGUAUCUGCGUUGCAGUUUGUCUGGGGGCCUUUGUUUGCUUUGGGGCGGGGGGAGUGCUGGAAAGGCCUUGGCCCAGUAGUGAGCAGCUGAGAACAUUGAAGUUAGAUGGCAGUUACCAAGUUGAACAUAAUACGGCUCUUUCAUGUGGUGUUUAUAACUGAACAUGCUGUUUUGUGUUGGCCUACUUCUUUUUUUUCUUCCAAGAAGUAGUUUUGGAUUAAAUUAUGACAAUUACAUUCUUAUAUCCAGCCCCCCCUUCCCCCUCCCCUUGCGCUUCAGCUCCCACCCUCGCCCUGCGUGCACACAAACACAAAUGGGAAUUAUGUGCUCAGAGUACGAUUUGAACUCCGCAGCCUGGGAUCCGUGCCUGGCAUUGAGUUCACUUUUUUCCUCCAGAGUAAAAAAAAGGCCUCAUCCACUCCACACUCUUUCAUCACUUUAGGAUGAAGUAGGGCGGUCAGAUUGCUGGUGUGGGUGCCUUGUCCCUGAGGGGAGAUAAUAGGGAAAACAGCCUCUUAAACAUGCAAGAGAGGAGGGCAAGGAGCCGCGGUGGUGAGGGCUGGCUGUAAGCAGCACGGUUUGUGAAAUCUUGUGUGAGUACAUGGUAUGCAAACACACACCCCCAGCAAGCUUCUUGCACAAGCCCAGGUUGGCUGACGUACCUGGGCAGGACUGCACCUGAUUGGUGUGCAGAAACGUGGUAAGAAACUCACCCUUCUCCUGGGGCUGUGUCCCCACAAGAGCCCUCCAGGACUGCAGAUCUCUAAGUUAC